ACUCACAGAAUCUCAAGACUGGGAGCACAUGGUAAUGCUAAACAGCAAAAAUUUGCUAAUGGCAAUUCAACCUUUUAUUUUUCAGGUGUCCUAAAAAGUAAAGAAGUGAAUGCUCUCUUACACCAUCCACUUCAAAAGCACCUCAACCAUUCUGUCUUCCAGAAAUCAACAAGCAUGUUAAUGCAGGCAACACGUAUUUUUCAAGAAGAGAUUUGACAAAAUUUUCAAUCAAGCAUCUUAAGGAAACUGCUCCCAUAGGACAAAAGAGAAAUACCUCCUGUAACUGAAGGAAGAAGAACAGAAGUUGUUCUGCAUGCUGCAGACAUUACACUUCCAUGGGUACUGAGGUGUUCAACAUAGUCCUGAAGAAUCAGCAAAACACUGAAUCCCAGAACAGCCCAGGUUGGAAGGGACCGUGAAAUAUUGACCUGCCCAACCCUUUGUGGGAAAGGGAGACUGGAUGAGAUUAUUGAGCAUUCUCUCUAACUGUGUCUUGAAAACCUCCAGCAAUGGGGACACUACCACAUCUCUGGGUCACACCUUGUCCUCCUUGUGUAUGGCUUGCAGGACAGGACUAAGCAGGGAAAGCUUCCUAAUAUCAAAUCCUGGGAGUAGAGGUAAGUAAAGGAACAUGACAAACAGUUCUUCCAACACCCAAAAGCCAAAUUUUCACCUUAGCAUCCCUCUUCCCCUUGAAGCUCUCAAGAUCAAUUUUGUCUUAGGUAUAGGGAUUUGAUAACCAUUAUGAAACUUUAUCUAGUUUUCUUGUGUCUCUUUAUCAAUUCAGUUAAACUGAACAUCACCUUUGCA